GUCUAUGUAUACGUUCAUCUAUUGAUACGACUAUCAAAAUCUUACGUCAACGUCGUGUACGACACACGUCUUGUCUUGUGAUCGCUCGCAAAGAAGAAAAACUUAUUUAGGAGACUUCACAAAAUGUUUACAUUACAAAAUAAAGGCUCGCCCUACACCGCACGUGUCUUCGUAACACACGCGAUAUGUUUAUGCUGAAAGGUGUAAUUACCGACUCACUUCAUUCGAACAAACAGCCCGUGCAAAGGAAGAAUAAUUAAAACUUGCUAGAGUGUUUGACGUCGCAAGGUCUUACUAUCCGAUCAUGCAGCAAGAAAAGCAGUCAGCUUUCGGGUCUAUAUAAAAUUGGUUCGAAUUCCGUGCUAAGAAAGAUUUGACGAAGAGGAAUAAACUGCAUUACACCAGCAGCUGACUCGCGAUUUGAACUUGAUCAGUCAAAUGAAAGGAAGCUGGCAGACCUGAUAGAGGGAUAAAAUUAAGAUCCGAUACUCUUCGACAAUUUAAACGGAGCGAGAAGACUGAAGGAAGAAAAUAUUUGUUUGAAGUAAUGAAAAGAUAUUUUUAAGGCGUUUGAAGUACAUUCUUGUUUUAAGACAAUAACAAAAGAAGAGAAACAAGCCGAGCUGUACAGAAAUCAGCCACCUUAGAACGAAAAAAGCAAAGGUGGUAAUAUUUUCUAACAAUGAAAUAUAUUUUACUUUCUUUCAAGGACAAGACACAAACAGAUGAUUUUUUUUCAGUAUAUCAGAGUAUAUUGCAAAAAUGUCUACACAAGGGUCGGUACAUAAGUUAAUAAUAAUAUUCAUGAUAAUCAAGACAUGACAUACUAAACAAUCAUUUGUUUGAAUGACAUGUAUUAUACUAUAGUUCAUGCCAAAUACAAAAUACACAAUGUUUAAUGAUUCUGUGAUUCUUAUUCAAAAGUUGAA
rnacentral:lncRNA from 1 species